UGUAUCUCUCAUGCUGCACAUCGAUGCAGAGACUCAAACCCAGCCAUUUUCUGCCGCUGCAGAAACACCACUACAAAUAUGAGUGAGGUGGAGGAGAGAGUGUGUGAGGCCGCUUUUCCGGGGUCGGGUCACGGUGGCAGCAAGCUACAU